CCCCCCAAUUUAGUGUUCUGUCCUGAGGUGAAAAGCUCUAAGGCGUGGAGGUUGUACAGAGAGACCCAGGAACAGGCCUGCUGUGUCGACAAGAUCUCAUAGUGUCCCUUUUGAAAUUCAACGUAUUAUGUAUGGGUAAACCUCUAUUUCUUGACACAUUAAAUCCACAUGGCUACCGGCUUAAACAACAUAAUAAAAAAACAAUGUGCUGUUUCCAUCAACUAUCACCAAGUAUUCUCUUGGCUUGCUAGAGUAUUGAGAAUUGUGGUGGCGCAGUGGUCUAAGCUGCAUGCUCUACCUCCAAGCAUUGUGAGUUUGCACCCAGUUCUGGGUGAGCUAAUUUUAUUGGGGGAGCGAAGAGGAAGACAUAUGUCCAAUGUUCUGGGGACAUUUUUUAAACAUCCGAAAUCGAAGUGACCAGGCUGGUUCUAGAGUAAACUGUAAAGCACUUUGUGACGACUGCCGACGUAAAAGGGGCUUUAUAAAAUACAUUUUCUAAACGGGAAGGACUUCUGUCAAGACUGAAAGGGACACAUAUUUCCAUUGAAUUCCAAAUUCAAUUUGUUGCGUUCCUAAACCUUUACGUUGUAAAUGAGGUUGUUGAUUGUACACCGCACUUAAUGUGGUGUUUGUUUCAGAUGGAUCAAUCAAUGGCCUCCAGGCUAAGCUUUGUUCAAAGACGGGAGCUAAACACCUUAAUAACGACAGCUAAUUGGUUGUUGUUGUAACGGGUGGCUAAACAAAAGGCCAGUGACAGAGGCAGACAUGUUUGACUGGUAGAGGUCAACAUUGAGGGGAAUGAAAGGACUGAAAGUGUUCAUUAAAGGGCUCUGUUGAUCUGCAGUGUAAUGACUCGGGGUCAAACACAAAAGCCAUGUAAUUAUCUUACACACACUCAGAAAUAGUUCACUCGGGCAGAUAUACCGUUGGAAAAAAAAACGGUCGGUUCUGGUCUACUUCACGGGGAGAGUCUCCCAUAGACACCAAUGCAAAAGCAGCUGGGUUUGGAUCGUUGUCCACAAACGCAGAGCUGUCAAGCUACUCCUAUUCCUCUUUUUGGAUUGGAAUCAUUUCUUUGAAUAUUUGAUGAGGAGUGUUAUCAACCGCCUGAAAUCUAUUUUUUUUUACACCUUUAUUUAACUAGGCGGGUCAGUUAAGAACAAAUUCUUAUUUUCAAUGACGCCUAGGAACAGUGGGUUAACUGCCUGUUCAGGGGCAGAACGACAUAUUUGUAUAUUGUCAGCUCGGGAUUUGAAUUUGCAAUCUUCCGGUUACUAGUCCAACGCUCUAACCACAAGGCUACCCUGCCGCCCCGUUCUAUGGUGAACGUAUUUCAAAUUCAUCGUCCUCAUGAAUAUGCAUAGACUGUCUUGGAUUUAAACAGG